rnacentral:lncRNA from 1 species
AGGCCCAAGACCAUCCUUCAGGACCAGCAUCACAGGUGGCCCACCUUGUAGGUGGGUCCUGAAAGAAGUGGAUUUGCGGAUCCUAACAGCCUCCCCCAGCUCAGUGCUCUGUGAUUUCCCCUUCUGCCGAGUGCAACAGCACGUGGUGAUAAGGAGCCCCCCGUAGAUGAGGCUGCAACCUGGCUGAGGGCCUAAUGUGCAUUUAGAGACAUCCUCAGAGACCGUCAUCCAUCUGGGGACAUUGGGAGCUGAGGCUUAUUUACAUUAGCAUCUGGGAGGCAGCUGCCAGCCUCGACCCUCUGCAGCGCCGAGCACUUCAGGGACUUCUGAUUACUGGACUGUGGCUGGCAGCGGCCCAGGAAGGGGGGUCAGAAAAACCUCUCCCCCCCAGCCAACCAGAGUGUGAGCCCUGGAGCCUGGCCACCCACCGCACACCCCAUGGGUCCCUGAGUAGACAGCCACCCAGCCCCGGCUUGUCUUGUCACGUUGGGCGGAAGUCGGAAGUCUGAUGGGAAAUAACGACUACUGCUCACCUAAACAGUGGGGGCCCUGCUCAUCUGGUCUCCUGGAGUCACCCCCAGGUGUAAAAUGAAUAUGGUGACCUACGACAUUGUGGAGAAGAAUGUUGAAGGCCCAAAGACAAGUGUGUGAAAUAGACCCUGGCUUUGAGACCUGCUGGCUUUGGGGAAAGGGGAUGAGGGGAGAGAGUCAAAGGCUGCCCUCCUGGUUUGGGAAGAACCGGUUUCAGGUGGAGAUUGACAGGAAUUUGACCUGAGUACUGAGCUGGAAUCUGCAAUUCUGGAGCCCAGCCAAGCGGUAGGAGGGCCCUCGGAAGGCAUGAAGCUGAUGUCCCAAGGCCCUUCCAACCCCCGGGGUUCACCCAACCAUCGGCUCACAGCAUUCCCUGCAGACCUUUCUCUCCCAAGUGCAAGUGUCUUUCUGAAGGAAAGUUUAUUUUCUCUGCCUUCUCCUGAUGGGUAUGAAUAAAGAAGCACAUUGUACCAGCUGUCCCUGGCUGUCAUCUGGAAGCCAUGAGAUGCACCAGCCUCAGGGUGACAUCAGUGCUAAGAAUGGUGGAGUAGAGAGACUGGAAAAAACUCAGGUCCCUGAUGUCAGCAUGGAACCCCAGAGCGCCCUGUACCUGAAGCCCACCUGCUCUCACACCUGUCGUGUGAGACUCACGUCUUCUUGGGGCUUCAGCCUUUGGGAAUCCAUUGUCUUCUCUUUGCCGCACAAAGCCCUGACAGGUCCAUCAGGUUACAGGAACUCACUGCCUAGCAGAGGCUCACAGCAGGAGAAGCAGGCCGGGACCCAGGAACCUGGGGUGUGCUUCAAAUUUUCACAGAAUAUAGUUUAAGCGGCCUUCCUACAAAGAAGCACUUGAUCUGCAUGUGAAGGGUUAUGAAUAUUCUUCAAUUGCACCAAGAAACUCGUUCUCUACUUUGUUUUAUGAAACCUAACUCCUGCUUGAUCUGCCCUUCAAGUUCCACUUUGGGGAAAAACAUAGAUACCAGAAACAUCUCGCCCUUCUCCUUAAGAAAAACUCCAACCAAAGUACAAGGGCCAAUGCUGACCACCACUCAGUCUCCUGGUGGGGUGGAGAGGACGGGGUGGGGCUUGGGGCAAAAGGGAGAGUUUGUGCCCCAUCCAAGAGUGACUUGCGGGAUGGCGAGGCCCAGGGUCUCCCGACCUGGUUCUCCUGAAGAAGUUGUAGGAUGGAAUUUGUACGUGACUCCUCCAGAUUUUUCAAGUUAUUUUAAAUAAAUAAAUAAAAGCAGAUCAAUCUUUGGGACCCACAAAACAUCCCGGUGGUUCCUUACGUUUGGCCGAGGCCGGCCCAGCAGACCUCCAGCUGCUGCUGACCCUGGCCCUGCAUCUCCAAAGACUCAGCCGGCGAGGGGCCAAGUGUUUCCUCACGCUGUUAUUUUUAACGCUGACAAUGUGGGAACGACCUUGAUUUCUAAUAACGGGGAUUAAGUAAACCAGGACAAACCCACUUAGUGGGAGAUCGGCAACUGUUUACAAAAGGUAUGUACACAGAGGAGCCUGAGAGGAUCCGGCUGGUGACACCAUACCCAGGGUGGGGGCAGAUCUGUGCAGUGUACACACAACAUGAUUGACGACCCUGGCAGAGGACACGGAAUACAGCAGUUAAAAAUCAACUCUAAACAAAAAUGAACCCGAUAUUGCCAAGAAUGGAAAGAACAGCACUCUUUCCCUAAUGCUUUUCUGAGCUUUGCAAAUUGUCUAUGAUUUCAUAAUCGAGGAAAGCACCAACUUUGUUUUGGGGUUUCUGAAUCAUUAAAUGACUGCCGUACCCCGCCUUCUUCCACAUCAACCUCAGCAGGCCAAGCUCAUGGCAGUCACGUCUGCGAACUUUUCCAGAGCCAUACUGAACCAGACCUGGAGGAUGGAGCUGGACUAGGGCCAGCCCUGCCCUGGAGCCCCACACGACCUUAAAAGAAUACAGUGAGAAGCAGGACAGCACCCACAAUCAGAGCCCAGAGGACAUGUGCUGGCCCAGUCUUCAGAUGAGGGAUAAGGGGCAGUGUCCAGGUGAGCUGUGGGCCUUGUAAGGGUGCCCCAGUUGAAUGAAUGUGGGAACAGGACUCUUGGUGAGGAUCCUUGCAGUGCAAAGACACAGAAGCAAAGAAGAGCAUAGCCUUUGCCGAAGACCAGUUGAUGGAGUCAUUUUCUGUUGCUAUAAUGAAUUACCUGAAACUGGGUACUUUAAAAAGAAACAAAGGUUUAUUUAGCUUACAGUGUUAGAAGUCCAAGGUCAUGUGGCCCUGUCUUUUUGGCUCUGAUGAGGACCCUCCUUACCUGCCUCACAUUGUAGCAGAUGGCAUCACUGUGGGAACACCUAGGAAAGAGAGCUCCGAUGGCAAGACAGGAAGACAGAGGGCUUCAGGGCCAACCUCACUCUUGUAUAACAUUGCACUUUCAGGGACAAACUCUCCACAGAGACCAGCACUGAUCCUUCAAAGGGCGAUGCCCCCAUGACCUUGUUACUCCUCACAAGGCCCCACUGCUUAAGGCUUCCACCACCUCCCAACACACUAGGGACCAGCUCCCAGCACAGGAGCUUUUGGGGAACACCAGAGCAUCCAGGGGACGACAAGGGCCAUGCACAUGUGCUGGCCACACACCCCUCAGACUGCCUCAGUGGCUGGGGUAGUCAGGUAGCACCAGCCUCACUUGGUUAGGUGGGGGUCAGCGUCCAUUCUGGGCCAAGCCUCCUUCAGGACAUCCAGGGUCAAGUGCAGAAGUUCUGAAGUUGGUCAGUUCACAACCGCACCCCUGGCCUGGACUGACUCAUUUCUUUGCUUGCAAGGACCCGAGGGCAGACUCCCAGGGUGACUGGAACCUCUGUGGACCUGAGCUCCUCCCACAGCUAUAAGCCACGGCCAUCCCGAGGAAGCCGGAGAAGGAGGGCACCCAAGGCACUGGCCUCAAGAACCACAUCGACCUCAAGGUCCCCUCAAGGGCCCCAGGAGGACUGCUUAAAGCCCUGACCACAAGCCAACUCUGUGUCCUGCGCUGCCCGCAGGGGCCAGGAACCCAUGAGCAAAAAUGGAACAAAUGCCCUUGGUAACGACGGGAAGCGUGUGCACGGAGAUCCGCGGGCAGCCACUUCCCCUCGGGCUGCCCAGAGCACGACGCGAUGCUGGCAGAGCUGCUAUCCAGGAAAAGAGGGGCCAGUGGCCUGCACAGCCCAGGGGACAGAGUUGCCCAGUUGUGGAGGACCUUAGAUAAGGAGAACUGCGAUCGCUGCCAGGGCCUCUGCCGGGGGCCAAGACUCUGCUCUAGGAACACCCUGUGACCCGCGGAGCCGGGUGCGCUGGGACAGUGCAGGUGGCCAGGAGGCUGCCCCCACGGUGGGGAGGGUGGACGAGGAGCCACGUAGGGGCCAAGGCAGGGCGGUGGGAGCUGGGACUCAGAGCCCAGCAGAGGCGUCCAGGUCAGAUGCUGCCGGUGGCCAAGCAUUGGGGGUGGAGGUGCUGCUGCAAUGCACCCCCUGGCCCUCGGGGGGCGCCAGUGCACACCCCGUCACACCUGCUGUGAGUGUCCCUUGUGAGGGUCCCUUGUGGAAACAGGGAAAGCCCAGCCCCAUGCUGGGUGUCAGGCAGGACGUGGUGAACGUGGGUGAGACAAGCGGGUGGGACUCCUGGGCCAGAGGAGUUUAGGUUCCAUGGAACCUAAACUCCCCGGAGACCUGGCUUUCCCCAACCCAGGGGCAGGGUGGCCUGCUGACCUUACCCAGGUCACAAGAGCCAGGGAAACCUCUGAGGCCUUCAGGCCCCUGCAGCAGAGGCUGUCGCUGUCUCCACAAGCCCGGCCAGUGCUCCCAGUGCCAUCGGGAGUCCCCCUGUGAGGCCCCGCUUGCAUUGGACCUGUGUGACCCUACCGUCACCCUCACUGCCACCGUCCUUUGUGCACAUUCCUGCCUCCCAUCUAUGCUCUGGACUCUUCUGAGUGUACUCCUGUCCGACCCCCAGAACCUAGCUCACUAUAAAGUGACAACAGACAGAAAAGACCUCGAUGGACAUUUCUACAGACUGACACUGUGCCAGGCUCCGAGGACACAGGUGGCUGAGGCCUGUAGCCUAUGCCCAGGGUGCUCACCGUCGUGAUGAAGUGGGCAUCCUGGGAGGUAGUGAGGCCCCCUAUCUGGAGCAUGGACAGAGGCUGAGCCAGAGCCUGGCAGGGACCCAUAAAGGGCGCUGCAGCUCCAAGGGAUGGUGGCCAGAUGGCUUCAGUGUCCCUUCCAGCCCUUGGCUCCCCUGACUCCAGAACCACACUCCGGAAACAUACUGGCUCCCAAGUACCCAUCCGCGGUCUUCCGGUUGGCAGCGAUCAGGCCUUGAACAGAGCGGGGUAAACAAGAGCUGAGUCACUCUGGGGACCGCCCGAGCGGGAGCCCCUCCCUCCUCUGGAACCCUCAUAAACAGACCGUGGAUCAGCUCUGUUUGUCAGCUCUUCCGAGUUUAUGAUGCUGCACGAAAUCUGUUGCCCAAACGAGCCCACGGACCUCUGACCACCCAUGUUUAGCCAUCUCUGUGCCUGAGUGUCAUCAUUGCACAGUCCACGUAUCUGCAGGACAAGCCGGAGCCCACCUCUGAGGAACCCUCCCAGCCUCCCCACUGUGCCGUCUCUAUCUUUGUGCACCAUUAAUCUCCAGUGAGAAUGGAGUCCUCUCUCCUGACUCCAAAACCAAAUCCCUGAGAGGGUUAUUGAGAACCCAAAGUGCAUAUUGGAUGCUUUACAUAAUGGACUUGUUUCUGGUCUUCUCAAGGUACUAGGUUUUAAAACGCUAUUUCACAGACUGGGAGGCAGAGGUUGAGAAGGGUACAGGGUCUUCCAGAGCCUUGGUCAAUUGGGUCGUCCUGGCUCUGGGUCCUGGCUCCUUCCCUGCCCUGUGGAUUUUUUCAAACCUGUUCCCUUUGCAGUGCUCCCAAUCUGCUAAUAUGCCAACCUCCACCUGUUUGGGCACCAAAAGAGACAUGAAGACCCAUGGUACAGAUUAGAGGACACAGUGACACUCCCACAUAAAUACAGUUAUCUGAUAUUAGACAAAGGUGCCAUAAACAUACGUUGGAGAAAAGUAGCUAAAUUGUGGAACCGACAAAUGGUGCUGGGAAAACUGGGAAUCCAUGUGCAACAAAAUGAAAUUAGACCCUAUGCCUCAUCCUGUAUAAAACUCAACUCCAAGUGGAUCCAGAACCUAGGAAUUAAACCAGAGACCCUGCUCCUACUAGGAGAGAAUGUAGGCCCAAAUCUCCAUCAUGUCGGCUUAGGAAUCAAAUUUCUCAACAAGACUCCUAAAGUGCAAGAAGUAAAAUCAAGAAUCAAUAAGUGGGAUGGAACCAAACUAAAAAGCUUCUUCACAGCAAAGAAAAUAAUCAAGAAUGUGAAGCGGAAGCUUACAGAAUGGAAGGAAAUCUUUACCAUGUGCACCUCAGGUAGAAAUCAAAAAACGUAAUAACUCGCCCAAAGGAAACCAAAUAACCCAAUCAAUAAAUUGUCAAAGAAAUGGGACUAGCACUUCACAGAAGAAAUAUGGUCAGUCAACAAACAUAUGAAGAAAUGUUCAACGUCUCUAGCAGUUAGAGAAAUGCAAAUCAAAACUUCUCUAAGAUUUCAUCUCACUCCUGUCAGAAGAGCGAUUAUCAAGAAAUAAUAAGUGUUGACGAGGAUGUGGGGGGAAAGGCACACUCAUACACUGCUGGUGGGGCUGCAAAAAGGUACAGCCAAUAUGGAAAACAGUAUGGAGAUUCCUUGGAAAACUUGGAAUGGAACCACCAUUUGACCCAGCUAUCCCACUCCUCAGUUUAUACCCAAAAGGACUUAACAACAUCCUACAGGGACACAGCCACAUCAAUGUUUAUAGCAGCACAAUUCACAGUAGCUAAAUUGUGGAACCAACCUAAAUGCCCUUCAAUAGAUGAAUGGAUAAAAAAAAAUGUGGCAUAAAUACACAAUGGAAUAUUAUUCAGCAAUAAAAGAGAAUAAAAUCAUGGCAUUUGCAGGUAAAUAAAUGGAUGGAGUUAGAGAAGAUAAUGCUAAGUGAUGUUAGCCAAUCCCAAAAACCAAAUGCUGAAUGUUUUCUCUGAUAGAAGGAGGCUGACUCAUAGUGGGGUUGGGAGUGG